rnacentral:rRNA from 1 species
AACGAACGCUGGCGGCAGGCUUAACACAUGCAAGUCGAGCGCCCCGCAAGGGGAGCGGCAGACGGUGAGUAACGCGUGGGAAUCUACCCAUCUCUACGGAAUAACGCAUGGAAACGUGUGCUAAUACCGUAUACGUCCUUCGGGAGAAAGAUUUAUCGGAGAUGGAUGAGCCCGCGUUGGAUUAGCUAGUUGGGGGGGUAAAGGCCUCCCAAGGCGACGAUCCAUAGCUGGUCUGAGAGGAUGAUCAGCCACACUGGGACGGAGACACGGCCCAGACUCCUACGGGUGGCAGCAGUGGGGAAUAUUGGAGCAUGGGCGCAAGCCUGAUCCAGCCAUGCCGCGUGAGUGAUGAAGGCCCUAGGGUUGUAAAGCUCUUUCACCGGUGAAGAUAAUGACGGUAACCGGAGAAGAAGCCCCGGCUAACUUCGUGCCAGCCGCCGCCGUAAUAC